ACAGAUCACUGCUUAAUAUAGAGCUUCAGAGUGCAGAUCACUACUUAUACCAAGAUCCUGACAUGGACCAAGCCUCCUAUUCCUACAAUGACUAUAGUGACUGCUUACAUUAAGGAGCUGCGCCUGGAGUCAAACUGCAAGAUUGGGUUGACAUGUCUGACCAGCAUGCUCAGACAACAGAUGUUACUGAUUGGAAGUUUCAUUGGUGGAUGAAAAGCAAGUUUAAUGAGGUGUAUAAAUGUUGAGGGAUCUAAGGGUAACUCAUCAGUCGAUUUGGAGAACAACUUAUGGCCAUCCAAAGGGAGGUCCUCAGCAGUAUUCUGUGAUUCCCUAGGGAAACUGGACACCUAGGGCCAAGAUGGUCAUCACAUCAUGAUCAUGGUGGAAAUGGACUAGGCUGCCAUUUCAGCUGCAUAAAUGGGCUGCGGUGCUGCUGGCUGCCCCUAGGCCACUGGACCCAGCAGAGCCCAGCUUGCACAUAGAAGACACUGCUGGGGGGAGAGGGAGAGUUUAGAGAGUUCCAGGCAGUUGCAGUUCCCUGCAUA